CUAGGAAACCAGGAAUGACAAGAGAUGAUCACAAGAUCCAUCCCUGUAAGGGCAUCCUCCAGUUGCUGCUGGCCCAAGAAACCACGUACCACAGCACCAGUGUCCAUAUGGCUAAUAUCAGCAGUAACACCAGGAGUAUUGACCACAUCAUACAAAUGAAGAACAGAAACCAAUGGAUUCAUCUUCAUCAACAAUGCCAAAGGCUGCCCUAUUCCUCCUGCAGCUCCCAAUAUAGCUACCUUGAACCCGGCAGCCCCUCCUUUCGCCCGGCAAUUGGCCCGGUUCAGACCACAACUCUCCUCCAUCUGGAAAUUGGGAGGAUUGAGGUGGGCAGCGAUUCUUGCAAUUCGCUGACUAGCUUCUGUAGUAGCGGAAUUCAUAUUAAUGGAUUUUAGAUAGUUAUUGAUUUUGUAGAGCUCGAGAGUUAUUUAGAUCAAGAAGAAGGGAGCUUUUCAGCUUAUAUAACGAGCAUUAAUGAAUACAAAUAGAAGACGAAGAAAAAGAAAAG
rnacentral:misc_RNA from 1 species